rnacentral:rRNA from 1 species
UUAAAGGCUGUGGNUCAACCAUAGUUCGCUUUGGAAACUGUCAAACUUGAGUGCAGAAGGGGAGAGUGGAAUUCCAUGUGUAGCGGUGAANUGCGUAGAUAUAUGGAGGAACACCGGUGGCGAAAGCGGCUCUCUGGUCUGUAGCUGACGCUGAGGCUCGAAAGCGUGGGGAGCGAACAGGAUUAGAUACCCUGGUAGUNCACGCCGUAAACGAUGAGUGCUAGGUGUUGGGUCCUUUCCGGGAUUCAGUGCCGCAGCUAACGCAUUAAGCACUCCGCCUGGGGAGUACGACCGCAAGGUUGAAACUCAAAGGAAUUGACGGGGGCCCGCACAAGCGGUGGAGCAUGUGGUUUAAUUCGAAGCAACGCGAAGAACCUUACCAGGUCUUGACAUCCCGAUGCUAUUUCUAGAGAUAGGAAGUUACUUCGGUACAUCGGUGACAGGUGGUGCAUGGUUGUCGUCAGCUCGUGUCGUGAGAUGUUGGNNUAANUCCCGCAACGAGCGCAACCCCUAUUGUUAGUUGCCAUCAUUCAGUUGGGCACUCUAGCGAGACUGCCGGUAAUAAACCGGAGGAAGGUGGGGAUGACGUCAAAUCAUCAUGCCCCUUAUGACCUGGGCUACACACGUGCUACAAUGAUUGGUACAACGAGUUGCGAGUCGGUGGCGGCGAGCUAAUCUCUUAAAGCCAAUCUCAGUUCGGAUUGUAGGCUGCAACUCGCCUACAUGAAGUCGGAAUCGCUAGUAAUCGCGGAUCAGCACGCCGCGGUGAAUACGUUCCCGGGCCUUNU